UACGGAGGAUGCGAGCGUUAUCCGGAUUUAUUGGGUUUAAAGGGUGCGCAGGCGGAGCGUUAAGUCAGCGGUAAAAAUGCGGGGCUCAACCCCGUACGGCCGUUGAAACUGACGCCCUUGAGUACAGUAGAGGUAGGCGGAAUUCGUGGUGUAGCGGUGAAAUGCAUAGAUAUCACGCAGAACUCCGAUUGCGAAGGCAGCAUACCGGCGCUCAACUGACGCUCAUGCACGAAAGCGUGGGUAUCGAA
rnacentral:rRNA from 1 species